UACAGAGGUCUCAAGCGUUGUUCGGAUUCAUUGGGCGUAAAGGGUGCGUAGGCGGCGCGGUAAGUCGGGUGUGAAAUCUCGGGGCUUAACCCCGGGCCUGCAGCCGAUACGGGCAGACUAGAGUUCGGCAGAGGGAAGCGGAAUUUCCGGUGUGAGCGGUGAAAUGCGUAGAUAUCGGAAGGAACAUCAGUGGCGAAAGCGCUUCCUGGACCAGAACUGACGAUCAGGCACGAAAGCGUGGGGAGCAAACA
rnacentral:rRNA from 1 species